rnacentral:rRNA from 1 species
AGGUGCUGCAUGGCUGUCGUCAGCUCGUGUCGUGAGAUGUUCGGUUAAGUCCGCUAACGAGCGCAACCCUCGCUGUGUGUUAUAUGUGUCACACAGGGACUGCUGGUAUUAAGCCGGAGGAAGGUGGGACGACGUCAAGUCAGCAUGACCUUUAUAUCCAGGGCUACACACACGCUACAAUGGUCAGUACAAUGGGUUGCCAAGCCGCGAGGCGGAGCCAAUCCUAAAAAGCUGGCCUCAGUACAGAUUGCAGGCUGAAACCCGCCUGCAUGAAGUCGGAGUUGCUAGUAACCGCAAAUCAGCAUGUUGCGGUGAAUACGUUCUCGGGCCUU